GGUCACACUGCUCUGUAGUAAAUAAAGUGCGCGAUUUUUACGCCCGCGUUUAAAAACGUAUUCCUAUGCGCCAUUGUAUGUUAUUGAUAUAGAAAUUGGUGUAUUAUCUGGCCACAGCGUGUGGCAAGUGAUUUAUUUUUAUUUUUUUUAAGUGCGUGAAGAGUUUGCUUCUCGUAAGGUGAUUGCCGCUUGGAAUGGAAGUCCAAAGAAUGGCAGCUUUUUAGUGCUUGUUAAUCAACAACAGCGAAUAGUUGUAAUGCUUCUGGCAGGUGCACAGCCAAGAAUCGAGUGAGAAUGGAAGAUGGCCUCAACAGAAAUGGGAAAUCACACCACAAAAUCGUCUUCAAGCCUUGCCAAGCCAAGCUCUUGAAUGUCAAAGAGGAAACGUUACCAAAUGGAGGAUUUCAACGACAAAACUGGAAUGUUUCGAGCAACUGUUUCGAGUGCCAUAUAACGGGGAGACCAGCGGACCACCAUCUCGUCAUGUGUCAUAAUUUGUGUGAAGCACGGCACUGCACAGCACCGAACAGAGGAGGAGCAGAAAUAUCAGAAACUGGUGCCAAAAUCCCACCAAAAUCGAAGCAGAGAAACCAGAGACAAACGGUAUUAACCCGUCAUACAGGUGUCGUUGUAUGUCGUUGUCUGUCGUUUUCUGUGUGUGAAUGUGUAUCCGAUUCUCUCCUCUAAUAACUUUUAUAAUCGAUGAUCUUGUAUGACUUGUUGUUCGCUCGUUCGUUCGGGGCCUCGCCGUCGUGUAGGCCAAAAGAAUCUUGUUUUUUCAGUUAUGCAUUCAACACAAAGGCCAACGAAAACCGCAACGCGAGAGACGAUGAGGAGAGAGAAGACGCGCCAGUCAGAUAUUUAUCAAUAUAUAGGUAUGCUUAAAAAAUUUACAUAUGACACACACACACACACACACAGACGUAUACAAACGAUAUUAUUAACCUCAAAACGGAUUUAAAUUUAAAAAACGAGAAACGAGGAAUGCAUAAUCACAAAACGAUCAAAAAAACACGAAGAAAACAACCCAACGAGUGGGUACUACGAUGACAGAACUCUAUAAAUAUCUAAGAAUACGUGACUCUGGGCAUAUCAUGGAAUACUAAUUGUUGUAUCAAUCAGCAAAUUGACUUAAGAGUGGGAUAGGGGCAUGCAAUGAGUGCAAUCCUCUCUAAAGUAUUGGAUCAAAAUGUAAACAGAUAUUCCCCAUUGAAGAGAUCACAUACCAUCUAUUGGUGCUAUCAGAAUCUUGCCAACAAAGGAAUUACCACAAAGAGAUUUUGUAGAAACUCGCUGCCAAUACUGGAAUUUUCUUGGGCGUUCUUAAAGGAAACCUGUAUACCCAUAAGUCCCGGUUAGUUGGUUAUUAUUAUUGAUUUUAAUUGUCUUAAGAACAGUUCAUUCAGUUUGUGCUCCCGAACAGGUGUGGAGCCCAAAAGAGGUCCGAUACAUAUGGUAACUAUUGGAUGCCCGGCCCCCACCGUGUGUGAUGAAAGACUCGUGUCGGCCGUUUGCCGUUUUGAAGAUGAUAUUUGCAUAAAACAAUCCGUUUGCUGAUCAGCCAAGCAGCAAAUAAACAAUUUGCAAAACAGA
rnacentral:misc_RNA from 1 species